rnacentral:rRNA from 1 species
AAUAUUGGACAAUGGGGGCAACGCUGAUCCAGCCAUGCCGCGUGUGUGAAGAAGGUCUUCGGAUCGUAAAGCUCUGUCCUCAGGGCAGAGGAAGGUGACGGUACCUGAGGAGGAAGCACCGGCUACCUACGUGUCAGCAGCCGCGGUACUACGUAGGGGGCAAGCGGUGUCCGGAAUUAUUGGGCGUAAAGGGUGCGUAGGCGGCUUUUUAAGUCAGAUGUGAAAGACCACAGCUUAACUGUGGGGUUGCAGUUGAAACUGGAGAGCUUGAGUAUCGGAGAGGGUAGUGGAAUUCCUGGAGUAGCGGUGAAAUGCGUAGAUAUCAGGAGGAACACCAGUGGCGAAGGCGACUACCUGGACGAAAACUGACGCUGAGGCACGAAAGCUAGGGGAGCAAAC